rnacentral:rRNA from 1 species
UUCCGGUUGAUCCUGCCGGACCCCACUGCUAUCGAGAUGGGACUAAGGUAUGCUAGUCGAACGACCAGAACUAUGUCUGGAAGUGGCACACUGCUCAGUAACACGUAGCUAACCUACCCUUAGGACGUGGAUACCCCCGAGAAAUUGGGGUUAAUCCGCGAUAGGUGUAAUGUCCUGGAAUGGUAUUACGCCUAAAGGUGUAUCAUACAUGUUUGAUAUACGCCUAAGGAUGGGGCUGCGGCCGAUCAGGCUGUUGGUGAGGUAAUGGCUCACCAAACCUUUGACCGGUACGGGCCAUGAGAGUGGUAGCCCGGAGAUGGACACUGAGACAAGGGUCCAGGCCCUAAGGGGCGCAGCAACCGCGAAACCUCCACAAUGCACUCACGUGCGAUGGGGCUAUCUCGAGUGCCACCUGAUGAAGGUGGCUUUUCCUAGGUCUUCAAAGCCUUGGGAAUAAGAGGGGGGCAAGACUGGUGUCAGCCGCCGCGGUAACACCAGCCCCUCGAGUGGUGGGGAUGAUUAUUUGGCCUAAAGCGUCCGUAGCCGGCCGAGCAAGUCUUCCGUUAAAUCCAGCGUCUUAAGCGUUGGACUGCGGGAGAUACUACACGGCUAGAGAGUGGGAGAGGUCAGCGGUAUUCUGGGGGUAGGGGCGAAAUCCUUUGAUCCCCGGAGGACCACCAGUGGCGAAGGCUGCUGACUAGAACACGUCUGACGGUCAGGGACGAAAGCUGGGGUAGCGAACCGGAUUAGAUACCCGGGUAGUCCCAGCCGUAAACGAUGCAUGCUAGGUGUUGGGUUGGCCACGAGCCACCCCAGUGCCGCAGGGAAGCCGUUAAGCAUGCCGCCUGGGAAGUACGAUCGCAAGAUUGAAACUUAAAGGAAUUGGCGGGGGAGCACCACCAGGCGUGAAGCCUGCGGUUUAAUUGGAGUCAACGCCGGA